GCCGGAGUGGCAGAGUGGUCAAUGCGCUGGUCUCGAAAACCAGUGUCCGCAAGGACUCGGGAGUUCGAAUCUCUCCUCCGGCG
rnacentral:tRNA from 1 species